rnacentral:rRNA from 1 species
UACGGGGGGUGCAAGCGUUGUUCGGAAUUACUGGGCGUAAAGGGCGCGUAGGCGGCCAUCUAAGUCAGACGUGAAAUCCCUCGGCUCAACCGAGGAACUGCGUCUGAUACUGGAAGGCUUGAAUCCGGGAGAGGGAUGUGGAAUUCCAGGUGUAGCGGUGAAAUGCGUAGAUAUCUGGAGGAACACCGGUGGCGAAGGCGGCAUCCUGGACCGGUAUUGACGCUGAGGCGCGAAAGCUAGGGGAGCAAGCGGG